CCUACGGGUGGCAGCAGUGGGGAAUAUUGGGCAAUGGGCGCAAGCCUGACCCAGUAACGCCGCGUGAAGGAAGAAGGCUUUCGGGUUGUAAACUUCUUUUAUUGAGGACGAAACAAAUGACGGUACUCAAUGAAUAAGCCACGGCUAACUACGUGCCAGCAGCCGCGGUAAUACGUAGGAUCCGAGCGUUAUCCGGAUUCAUUGGGUUUAAAGGGUGCGUAGGUUGUUUUAUAAGUUAGCGGUGAAAUACCGAUGCUCAACAUCGGGGCUGCCGCUGAUACUGUAGGACUAGAGAUCGGAUGCAGCAGGCGGAAUGUGUAGUGUAGCGGUGAAAUGCAUAGAUAUUACACAGAACACCGAUUGCGAAGGCAGCUUGCUAGGCCGGAUCUGACACUGAUGCACGAAAGCGUGGGGAUCGAACAGGAUUAGAUACCCUUGUAGUC
rnacentral:rRNA from 1 species